ensembl:lncRNA
CUGAACACAGACACCAAAAUUGUCGUUUUCUAAAUUGCAGGGUAUACGUUCGCUGUAAUCAUGUGACCGUGUACGGUAAUGCAAGUAAUGGUACACAAAGUGGACAACUUUUUAUGAUUCUCUCCAGAUGUUGAGGAUUGUAACUUUAGACCUAAAGACUUUCUCUAGUCCUCUGUCAUUUGUGUAAGUGGAUUCUUGAGGGAAUAGUGAGGCGCUCUUAUUCCAGCUUUCACCCCCACCAGAGGAACCUAAAGGGACAACGCUCCCUGCAGAGGCACCAGAUGUGCGCUGUUAUGGAGAGUGGGGGGGGGCAUCAGAUAAGCCCUGUUCCCAAAGCCGGGACGGAUCGAGUAUCAUCAUCGGGGGCGAAACCCAAGCCCUGCGCAGUGGGUCGGAUUUCUGUUUACACGAGCGUGGUCCCUGGAUUCCUCAAACCAGAGCAGACCAGAGAGCUCGGCGACACCGUGAGGUCUGCGAGACAGACGCUUUCAAUGAUGCAGAAAAGCAAUGGAAACCCACCUUCCUGCUGUAGGCCAUACUGCAUACUGUUAACAUGUUAAUAAUGGACAAAAUGAGGAGAAUUGUAGUAAAAGUUAUAAAAUAAAAGUUGUUACGGC